CUCUAUUAAAAAAAAAAACAAAACAAGGGAGGCUUGUGUGCUCAUUACUGACUCGCGCCCUGGGGCCAGGGGCCAGGUGCUGGGUUGAUGCAGGGACACAGAAUGCAGGCCUUCGGGAAUCCUGAUAUCAGAAGCCGCCUUUGCACAGUAGUUGUGAGAGUAGGUAAAGGCAGUGGUGAACCAGGUCAUAAGAUGCCGUGGCAUAUCCGAGAGAAGUUGCUUGCCUCCUGGACUCUGGACAGGCUGAGGAGAUGGGGAAGGGCCUGUCCUGCACGGGGUGACACUGCUGAUGUCUCUGCCCUGCUCUGUGCAGUCACCCCAUUUCCUCUGCCCUCAAUGUUGCUCCAGAUGUACUGCCCGGAAUAACCGUAGGAUAAAGGGCUGGAAUUGAUGACCCCAUGUGUAUUUCAAAAUAAACCACAACACUUGUUAAAGGAAAUAGUUAAGUUAAAGGAAAUAGUUAAGUUUUUUAAGUUGUGGUUUCUAGCUUUAAAUCUUCAAAUUUUAGUACUUUUUAAGCCCUUGCUCCUAAAUUGGCUGUGAAGUGAAUCGAAGUGAGUGUAACGUACCCUCUGUGGAAAGGAUCAGUUUGUAAGUAAUUUUUAAUUUUUAACUUCUGUUUACUUUCAAAGCCGUAAUCCACAGUUGAGCGUUGGUGUUUUUAUUGCUGACUUAGCAGUUUGUUGCCUUGGCUGUUGGUUUUUCUUUAUGUGUGUGGAAAUAACGUGUGGAACAAAGGAGAAGGAAAUUGUUUAUGGUACUUUCAACAUUUAGAGUUUGUGCAGCCAGAAUGUCAGGUUAAAAAAAAAAAAAAAGUACUUCCUUUCCCUUAGGAGAGUGUGAAGGUUCCCAAAACUCUGUUUCUCACUUCCGAGAAACUGGAGCAGGUGUCUGCUUCCCUUCCAUCAGGAGAUCUCUGGAACCUUCUGGAAGCUGAUUCCCUUAUGAAGGGUAGCCUUUCUGAACAUUGUAUGGACAUGCUGGUGUGGAGAGGAUCUCUUUCCACACCCUCAGUGUGGAAUCUGUCAGUGUCUCGGGGCUGCCUGGGCAAAGCAGCACCCAUGUCAGCACUCAAGUCCUAGCUUCAGCUUUCAACAAGGCUGUGGUCUUUCGGGUGCUGUGGACUCCUCCUCUGACUCUGUCUCUGUUGCAUAGACCUUUAUACCAGUUUGUGACCUCAUCUCAAGUGAUCAUAUCUCCACUCAAUAAGGUGCCAGGGGUUGGGACUUGGCAUCUUCUGGGAACACAGAUUAACCCACGGAACAUUUUCUUCUGAAAUGGACGUGGCAGUCAUGCCAACUCCUCUCUGUAGGUGGGCUCUGCCCUUCCCGUUUCCUGUCUGACCUGCGUGGCUGGGGUGGUGCAGGAAUGGGGCAGCAGCCUGUUGGUUGUGGUUUCAGGUGUGGCAGGUGGUCAGCAGUGGGGAAGCAAUUGGCACUGAGCCAGAGCCCUGCCUCCUUCACCCCCUGAAGACUGCCCCAGGAGGUGUGUCAGGUGAUGGUAUUGUCGUCUUUUGGUGACAGGUUCACAGAAAACCAGAAUUUUUAUUCCCCUGGUGUGUAUUUCUGUUGUUGAGAGGUAUGAUGGAUUGAAAAAAGACAUUAGGGCCUAACAGAAUUUCUAAUUCUGGGUAGAAGAAAUGGAAAUAGAAAAGGAACAGUGUCAUUUCUGUCUACCAAGAAAGAGCAAACACUUCUUAAGGGCAGUGAUGGCAAGUCUUCAUGAUAUUUAAAUGCCACUGAGUAUAUUUAAACAAGUCACAGCUUUAUUUUAAGUCAAUAUUUAAAAUACACCAGAACUAUGUGUAAAGAUUUAAACUCAAGACGAAAAAUUGUAAAUGACAAUUGAAAGUAUUUUUCAAAUUCUUUUAAGGAGUGAUUUAGGUAGAACAUGUGGAGAGCCUGGCUGGCAGCAGGUUCUCUCUCUCUUGUAGACCUGUCCUUACAUUUUUCCUUGAUAGCGUAUGUUAAGUGGAGUAAUGUGCUGCAUGUUUAAACAUCAGGCUGCCUGAACAUUUUUAUUGCUUUCAAAAUAUUCAAUAAAAAAAUUGCUUUAUAUUUGCAUUAUGCUUGUCAUGUCACAUAGCCGCUCACAGGAGAUCAUUUUGCACUGUCAUCACCAUUUCCCACUGGGAAGCUUAUAGAGAAUGUGACCAGGAAGGAAAUGGUUCCUGUUUGCAGAGCUCAAGUUGCCAGGAGUGGACACAGAAGGCGAGAGUCCGUGCGUGCACGUCCAGCCGCCUAGAGACCGUGCACUCAGGGUGAGAGUUCACCGGGAAGGAAGGCGCUUGCUGUCCCUCGGCAGCCUACAGUCAGUCUCAGGAGCAGCAGGAAGGGGCACCAGGAACUCCCACAGAUGUGGAGGUGGGGUUGAGAGGCUUCUAUAAGAUGUAUUUUGCAAUCAAUCAAUAAAUAUAUGUUUGAGAGAUUGACAAUGAGAUCAUUAUGUAAAUCCUGAAACCUAAGUCGCAGUCGUACUCAUUUUUUGAUUGAAAUAUGAUCAUUUUCAAGAUAGAAAAUGAAACCCCAGAGGCUGGAGUUGUAGCUCAGUGGAAGAGCGCCUGGCUAGCAUGCGUGAGGCACUGGGUUAGAGUCUCAGCCCCACAUAUAAUUAAAUAAAAUAAAGGUCCACCAACAACUAAGAAAUAUUUUUUGAAAAGAAAAUGAAACCCCUGUUGUGAGUGGGAAGAAGACAUAUUUCAGGGAGAGUCCUUUAAAAGGCAAAAACAGACGAAGCUGAUUUUCCUGCUUUCUUUCUUCUCUUUCCUCCCACCCUGGUGUCUUUCUGGUCACUUUUUUCCCCCAGUGAAGCUGACAACACAAAGAACCCACGAAGUUAUGAGGUUCUACGUGCACCAAAGCCCGUUGAGUUUGGGAGUGUAGCUUAAGUAAAGGAAGGGGGGCCGGGCAGCAGGCCUCUCUGACCCAGGGGGGUUCUCCAUUCCUAGGCAGCAGCUUUGCAUCUGGCUGUGCUUGGGACCUUGAAGGCCAGGCCAGAGAUGACUGGAGGUUUCUGGGUUGGUCUAGAAGCAAGUAUCCAUGCAGGGCUGGGCAUGAUGAGUGCUCCAAGAUCACCAUUGCCUUCAAAACAGAAAGGAACAAGUGGAAGGAAUGUGUGUUUACAGCUUUGACCCUUCCGGAAAACAAUGUGAACGCGUUGUUGCAAAAAUUCAACCUCCAAUCCCAAUAACAUACAAAACCACUAAAAUGCCAUGUUAUCAUUUUUAGAUUAGAAAGAUCUGUUUUAAUGUCCUUGGAGCACUGCGAGAAUUCUGGAUAAUUAGAAGCUGGAUAAUUAGAAGUUAUAGUAGAAAGAAUCUGAGAUUCCUAUAAUAAUUUAAACUGGCAUUGUUCUGUUGGAGGACCUUCUGUAACUGAAAACUUCUGGUUCAUUAUUCUGACAUUCUAUUGCUAGACUGAAUUUCUUCACCUUUAUGAUUAUGCUUGUUAUGUUUUAAAGCCAAAAGCUGUUCAGGGAGGGCUCAUUUGAGAAUUGACAGAUGGAAACAUUUUAAUGUUGGUAUAAAUUCAGGGACAUGAGGAAAGAUUCAUAAUCUUGGAAGAAAACAGAGACCUAGAUCUUAGUGAUUUGGGGUUAGGUAAGGGUUCUUAGGUGGUAACACCAAAAGCACAAAUGACAAAAAAAAAUAUUGAAAAUUCAAAAUUUAAAAAAACCUCCAUUUCAAAGGACACCCUCAAGUAGGUGAGAAGACAGUACACAGCAGAGUACUGUACAAAAUAAUUGCAGACUAUCUGAGGGACUUGCAGCUUUAAUUCAUACAUUAAAAAACGUAUCACUCAAUAAAAUACCAAAUUUCAAAGUAGGCAAAAGUUCUGUAGUGGACUUACACUGAAGGCCUGUCAGCGUCGUUAGCAUGUUCAACAUCAUUAAACAGAGGGAAGGCAAGUCUCACCCCUGUGAGAUGUCACUUCACCCCCACUAGGAAGGUUGUUAUCAAAAAAGACAAAAUUUUUGACAAAGAAGUGGGCAUGGAGGCUUGGGGGGGGGGGCGGUAAAAUGGUGCACCCUCUGUGGAAAACUGUCAAUUCCUUACAAAAAGACACGUAGAAUUAGCGUAACCCGACAAUUGCACUGCUAGGUACAGGCCUAAAUGAAAGCAAAACAGGUGUUCAGACAAAUGCUGUGCACGAGUGCUCGUGGCACUGUUCACAAUAACCAAAACGUGGAAACAACCCAGAUAUCAUCUAUUGGUGGAAGGAUAGACAAGGUGUAUUAUAUCUGCACAACAAAAUAUUACCUGAUAAUAAAGUUUAUAUACAGGCUACCACAUGGCUAAAUCUUUAAAGCGUGCUAAGUGAAAGAUGUCAUUUAUAAAAUGCCACAUUUUGUGUGAAUCCCUUAAUAUGAAUGUUCAGAAUAUGCAAAUCCAUGGGGGCAAUGUGGCUACCUAGGGCCAGGAAGGAGGGCUGGGGAAACAGGGGUGGCUGCUGAUGGGCAUGGUUUCUCUUGGAGGUAUUGAAAUGUUCUGAAAUGAUUAUGGUGAUGGUUAUACAACUCAGAAUAUACUAAAAGUCAUUGAAUUCCACACUUUACAUGGGAGAACUGUAGGAUAUGGGAAUUUUAUUUCAAUAAAGCUCUUAUACAAAAAUUCCACAUGUCAAAGGAAACUCAUCUGUGCCCUAGAAAUCGUCCUCUCCAGUGUUCCCUGUCCCUGGUCAUCCAUCCAGCCCAUGCCAGCAGUGGGAGUCCUCCUCCUCCGGUCCUCCCCCUCUGCGUUGCUUCCUACUCUCCCCAGUCUGUCCCAAGUGGCCUCCUUGAGGGUCAGAUCUAAAGCUGGAGGGAAGCCCUUUAUUUUAUGCCUUGCUUACUUAUAUAGUCUUUGAAUGAAACAGAUAACUUUUGCAAUUGAGGACAGAACUUUCAUUUCUAGGUUCUUUAGAUAGCUCUGGUGGUCUGUCCACUCUGACACUCAUCUCCCCUCUCUGCCUCCAAUGCCCUGGCCUUAGACCAAGUCUUCAGCUCAUCCCUUCUCGGUUACCGCCACAGGUGUUCACUAGUCUCACCUGAUCUGUCCCGGCCAUUGUCUCCAUAUCUUCUGUCUCGUCCUGGGACAUAGAGGGUGUUUGUUGACUGAAUAGCUAAACUAACAAAUAACCCAAGUCUCCUAAUGGGCCUCUCACCUCUAGUCUGUAUUUCCAGUCUUUCAUUCCCAUUAUCACUGGGUUAUUCUUAGUUGACAUCAUUCUUUCCCGCAGGCUUUGCUGAGGGCACCAAGUUCAAGCUGCACCUAAACGCUCCUUGCCCCUCGGAAUACUCCUCAUCCUUUAAGGAUGAAGACUUUGAGAACGGCAGGCCAGAAGCCCUAGUCUGAGUUUCGACUGAGUAGUUUCUCAGCAUGGCAGGAGGCGGAAAGGUGGACUCUGAGAUCCACCUGCAGUGUGAGAUGCAGGAGGGCUCAGUGCCUGCCUGGAUUUUGGAAUCUGUCCGUUAUCUGGAGGGCCAGGGAGGCUGGGAGGUUAUCAGCAGUGAACAAGAAGGAGGGCAGGGCCUGGUAAGUGCGGGGAGGUCAAGGAAGUUCUGUGCUUUGGACCUGAUUGUGAUAACUUCUGCGCAGUUACUCUUUAUCUCUGCAGAGCCGCUCUAUCUCCCCAUUCCCACAUGCACACCAGCCCAGGACUCAGUCCAUGCUGAGAAGGUCAGGCCACAUGCCCUGUCCCAACAGCUUUCAAUUAAAACCUGCUGGUUGUUGGAGCUCUCAAAUGAACCCUCCUCCAGGAACUGGAAAUGCAACAGGAUCAUCCAGCUCAAGGCCCCCUGCUGGGCCGGGCAAUAGCUAAGAGGCCCUCUUGUCUCCUGUUGAUGUGGAGCUGAUCACUGAGCAACCUCGGGAUCCCAGGAGGUGCAAACACAAACAGCUCAAUGCUUGGAUUGAUGUUUCAUAUAUUAGAGCAAACAAAAUCCUUUUAGGGAAACUAUGAGCAGAAUUUCCACUUUGUCUCCAAUACAUACUUCCUCUUGUUCCCUUUCAUUGGUUUCCCUUCAGCUGCAGGGCUCUGUCCUCAGAUGAUGGAUCCCCUCUGUCCUUUCCCUGAGCCAGGACUGCACCAGGACAAGAGCAGAACCAGCCUGGUGGCACUUCUGCUUCAGAAGACCUGCUGCAGGUGCUCCAGCUCCGCUUCUUCCCCUGAUUCUCAGGGUGGCUGUCUCCUCACCCUGUUUUCAGAGGGCAGUGGAGCCCCCCACUCUAUAGUAGAUGGUUGAUGCUCAGAGUCAGGUGAAGGAGAAAAUCAGGACCACUUUGUUUUAACUCAUCUUAAGUUCAUUUGAAUGUUAAUUUGUUUGCCAGAAACUUUUCUUUGAGUUUGGAUCCACUUUAGAGUUCUGUAUCCACAGGGCAGCCUUUAAAAGUCCCCUUUCCCUUUCUUGAAGGUGUCAUGAGGUGCCGUCUCUAAACCACAGCAGCCCUGGAGUCUCCUACCUGCCUCUCACCACCCUAUCAAAGCUCCCAACAGCAUUCAGCUUCCUCUUUAGGGUCUUCCUCCUUUACCAUCUUUGUUUUCCGGUUCUGCUGUGCUCUGAGCGACUGCAGUGACAUUUGGAGCUGAUCCAGCGGUUGUGAAUGAUACACUGACAGCGGGCCAGUUAAACCAGGCAUGUGCUGGCCACCAAGAAGGCAGACCUGACCGUGCCAUGCAGUGAGCUGUGGCCUUGGCUGCUUGUGUUCCAGAGGAUGUGGGGACAGGUGAUCCUAUGGAGUGAUCCACUGUUGGUUACAGCCCCUGAGAGCCGAGUCUUUGUCUAACAGCCUACCUCCUGACCUUGCUGCCUCGAGGACCUUGAUUUCAACACAGAGCUUUGGGGGAUGUCCAGAUCCAUACCACCACAGGUGAACAUGGGAGCCGCCCUUGCAGGGUGGAGCAGCCUUCCGCAGAGAAUGAAGAGGGAGGUGUUGGCUCGCUGGAGACCGUACCUGCUGAGUCAGGGUGGCACCCACUUGAGCUGUCCCUUCUAAAAGCCAACUAGGGGCUCCUCACAGAGGACUGGGAGGCCAGCUGCACUUUGGUAGAGCAAACUCUUGCCAGGUAUCUGUACUGGUGAUCAGGACACUGCAGCUGUUACUCAAAGUUGUUACUCAAAGAAUUCUGCCCAAGAAUUUUAAUAUUCCCUAGGAGGAGUGUGAUUCUGUUAAUUGCUUCGACUUUCUUCAUGAGUUUAGGUGUAGAGCAAUGAUUUGAUUCACACAAUUCUCUCUUUGGAUGCUGUGUGGAAACAGAGGGGAGAAGAAAGGGGUAGAGGUUAGCAGGCUGGGCAGAAAAAGGGCAGUGGCAGUUUGGCCAGAGAAGUUACGGUGGAGACCAGAGAGGGUCUGACUUUUGGAAGGCAAAGCUGGUAAAACUUGUUGAAAAGUCAGGUCCAAGAUGCCACUCACCCAGGAAAGGAAGGCCUGAGUAUGGGAUUUUUUGAGUAGCAAAAAUUAACUGUUUUGUUUUGCACAUAUUAAAAUUAAAGAUGUCCCUUAAAUAUCCAAGUGCAGAUGUCAUAGAAUCUGUUGCUAGAGACAACCUCAGUGCUGAAGAUAAACAAGAGUCAGAUUUGGACCAAAAGAGAGCAGCUGAGGAGCAAGUGAAGACAAGAGAGAAGGUAUGGACUAGGGCACAGGUGGCCCAUCAGGUAAAGGUAACAGAAGAGAUGAGCCAGCAGAGCCUAUGAUGAACGACAGCAGAGAGGACCAGGGGGCCUGUGAAAAUAGCAUCGUGGAAGAUGAGAGAAGAUGGGGCUCCACACACUGCCACGGCCCUCAUGGCUGCAGGUGGAUGUGGUCAAGUUUGCUGAAGGCAGGCAAGACGACUGGAGCCGCCUAUCCCGUAGGAGAAAAUUGAAUGGAGAAGAUUCAGAAGAUAUUCAGGCCAGAUUAGGGGCACAUGAAAACAAUCACAGCUGGGAGCAGAACAGGACUCCUACAAGGAGAAUCUUAGCAAUGAACAAGGAGGUAAAGACCAUGAGAGGAAACGCUGCCUGACUCUUAAUGCUCAUAAAAUUUCACUGACUGGGCAUGAAGGGACAACCGCCUGAGAAGACAAUGACCAAAUCAUUUGUAAAUGCAGAGAAAUGAUAGAGGAGGGAUAUUGGGCAGUCAGAUAUGUCCUCGAGAUUUUUGAACUGAAUUCAGAGAAGAUGGGAGAAGAAGCCUAUGGACAGAGAUGCCAGAAUAAAAGCUGGUUAAAGAUGCUCAAAUAGGUAAACAAAAAAUUACACAUUAUGUUUUUCUGUAUUAUAUAGAAGAAGCUCUCAUGGGCUCAGAAAUGUUUCCUUUUGAAAUAAUUAGGUUUCUUAAACAUACAUGAAAGUAACUUGGUAAGCUUAGAACUUAAGGGACAUGGGUAUGUAAUAAAAUGGGAGGUAAGUAAAGCUGAAUACAGAGAAAGCAAAUGGUGUUAAACCAAACAACAGGGUUAGAGAGGGUGACUAAAUCCCCACCUGAGCACAGAUGCCAGGGUUCUUUGUCCAGGUGCAGUUUGACAACUGCUAUGAGGUCUGAAAUCAGGUCUGAUUUUUUGAAUUUUAACAUGGCAGGAAGAACUUCUCAGCCUGUUACAUGUUGUCACCUCAGGGAAAUAAAAAAACACAGGAAUAGAGCAUUCUACUGGGAUGGACAGGAAACACUAACUAGGAGACGGAGCCCAAGUCCAGAGCUCAGCCUGUCACUUCACAUGUGUUACAGCAGGGAGACAAGCACAUUGCUCAGAUUCUUUCCACACUUUCUACAUGUUUGGGAUUUUUAGAAUUAAAAUUAAUCAUUUAAAACGAGCACUUAAACCAAAACACUCACUAGUGUAAGGAGGGAGAUAAACUAAGUGGGUGACAUAGCCUGGGAGUCCUUCUACCCCCAAUAGCCUACAAUCUCAAGAAUACAUUGGAAACGCCUAAACUCACAAUUCUGCAGGAGAAGAAGAAACACGUGACUGCAGAGACACCAUUCCGAAGCCACUAUGGAGAAAGAUGUUUCUAAACUACCCAGUACACACAGCACUUAAGUGUCACAUGAGCAGUACGUACUUUUUAAGAGGAAGUCACUUUUUAAGAAAUUCCUAGCAAAGACUUCAAAUUAAAUAGGGUGGUCAUAUUAAAAAAAAAAAAAAAUUUAAAAAGACCUAAUACACACAUUUAAAUGACCUCCAUUGCUUUCUAGGCUUUUCUUAGCAAUGUGAAGUAUCAGCAUAAGCUUUGAGUGGGCUGGAAACACCUCAUGGUGCCCUGGUUCAGGCACUUGCACGCUCAUCUCACUCAGUCACCCCAACCUCUGGUGAGGGCUGACAAGCUAAGGUAACUAGGAGAGGAGGGGUGAGAGCCCGGGCACCUGCCACAGAUCCUUCGCUUUUCCCACUAGGGAUAAUGCUCCCAUCUGGUGCCGAGGCAAUGUGAGAUGGGCUUCUAAAACCCCGUGUAGAACCUUUCCUAAUGUAUUCUUCAUCUGGUUCACUACAGUUCCCAAAUAUUUUCACAUGUAUCUCAUGUCAGAUUCCAAAGUACACGAAUGGAAGGUGCUUUUGACAUCUUUCUUUUAGUUGUAAUUUUAUUCUUUAGGCUUAAAACAACUAUACAAUAUAAAAAAGCAUAAAAUAUUGAAAUCUGUUCUUUCUCAGUAACAAAAAAUUCUCAUCAUAAAAGAUGCAAAAAUGCUGUCAUGAUCGACAUUUUAAUGAGGAAACAUAAAAUAUGCUCUCUUUCAUGAUUUUUCACAAGAAAAUCCCUAACGUGGCUUGUCUGAGCUGUCGGAGACCCUGUUCCUCCGCUGUCGGGAGUGCGCAGCGCCCUUGCUGGGCGCAGGCUGCCGGCUCAGUCCUCGCGGCCUCGGUUGUCCUCGAUCACGAUAGUCCUUCGAGGGUAGGCGUCCACUUCCACAAACACGUACUGAAACUCGUACUCGCCACCCUCCGGGUCCUGAAAAGCACGCGUCUCCAGCCUGACUGCCUCCCAGCGCCGCCCGCGCCCUCCUCCGCCCCACGGCCGCCCCACGGCCGCCCCGCUGGCCCCGCUGGCCCACCUGCCUCACUUCAGCGAACACCGUCCCCUGCUUGCCCGGCUCGGAUCCCUCGAUGUAGAACUUGACGCGCAGGUGCUUCAGCCCGUCUCUCACGUACUCGAUGAAGCUGCGGAGGAAGCGGGCGAAGUAAGACCCAGUCCCCAGGGCCACCCGCAGGCCACCCGCCUCGCCCGCCCGCGGCACCUGACGUGCUGCCUCCGCCCGCGGCGCGUCAUCUCCCCGUAGCCUCUCACGGGCUCCCCGAAGACGCUGACCACCUGCGGAGAAGGCGCUGGUCAGUUCCAGGGAGCGGCUCUGCACACCACGUGCCUUCGGGGAAAGCCGGGCAGGCCCGUCCCUUUAAACCACGGUGACUCAAUGAUGCCAACGCCAGGAAAGGAGGAUGUGUAGCAAAAGUCAUCCCUGAAGAGCUCAAGUCACCUCAUGCCCAGAAAUGGAAACGGGCCUUCUGGCACUCACCUGUAGUGGCCAAGGUGGGCUAGAGGAAGCUGCUCCACUUCGUUUACAAAACAACACAAAACAGUGCCUAAACAUUCCUCUAACACGUCCUGGUUUCAAGGUAAAAAAUGUACGAACACUUUGAAUGACAUUUAAUAUAUGGGGUUUAAUGCCCAAAACUGUGAUGUUGAAAUGAGUCAAGUUACUCAAACAGUGAGGGAAAAAACCCAAGAAUUAAUAGCAUAUUCAAAAUCAGGUGUGAAUCUACUAUUGUUAAUGGUAAAAUUCACAUGAAGUAGAAAUGUAUUUUUUAUUUAACUUAAAAAGCAAAUGCUUUGGACUCUCUCUAAAAAAUACAAAUUUGAUGUCAAACUUAAAAAGAAAAAAAUUGACCCUCAAUUUUGUAAAAUUGUCUUUGUCCCUUUGCUGAGCAUCUUUACUAUCACAAUUUCCAGACACAAAAGAAAAAGAUACUAUGUAAGAUGAGAGAUAUUUAAGAUCUGUGUGCCUGAAACCAAGGAACCACUGUCCAAAUAAUUUACUUAAUAGACUAAACACAUCAGUAUCAGAACAUUAGAAUUUUUUAAUCCUAUUUUUUAAUCAAGCAUGGUGCCUAAGAAGCCUUGGGACCUUAAAAACUACUGACAAAACUAAAUUGUUAAAACUUAAUUAUUGUUCAGAGUUCCUUUUGGAAGCAAACUAAGUUGGCCCUAGUAAUAUCAUACUCUGUGUUUAUUCUGUGGAUUUUGUUUUUGUUCAAAAUGCCGUGAAUUCUAUGAGAUGCUGGGUUCGUGAAACACAAAAAUUCUUCACCUGUUCUCAGAGAUGCAUCCUGAUAUCUAACUAGGUUUCUACUGAUAUUAUUUUUGUCAACUAUAAAAGCAGAUAACUUAGAUCAAUCCAGAUAUAAUUUGAUUCCCAAUAACCAUAGUAGGAACCUUUUUUAGUCCCUGCCCAUUUUCAACUCUCUCAGGGACAGUUCUCACUUCCUGCCUCCCUCUCCACGGUUCACACAGACUAACAACCAGAGUCCAGUUCAGAGAAAUCAACACAUUGAAAAGAAAAAUGCCAGCGCCCACUGGCUGCUGAGCCACACACACCUGACACGACCAGAGACUGAUGAAGCACUCAGAGCCCUGCUCCAGGGAACCCAGCACAGCACACCACGCUGAGAAAACCUGUGGCCUUCAUCUUGACCCUGGCUGAGGACUGUAGACUCUGCUUCUCUGACCUCACUUCUUGGGCCCUGAUAUUCAUGAUGCCAUCUGCUGUCACCUUUCAAGGUAUCAAAAUUAGGAUUUCAGCAAGGAAUGCUUUUCAAUGCUGAAGCUUUCCCCCAAGGGAGUAAGGAAUCUGUCACACACGGCCAUGUCUUGCAAACUGUGACUGGAUGGUUAUGAUUUAAAGCCUUUCUUCUGGAAGGUUCCUUCAGAAACCACAGUGUGGCUGCAUGUCGACUCCUCCCAGGGAAUGGCUGAGGAAGGUUGUGCCCAGCAGGGUAAGAUGUGGAAACCGACCAGCUUGGAUUUGGGUUCUGGCUCUCACCUAGUUCAGUGAUUGAGGCUGAGUUAGUUAAUAGUGCCAGUUUUCCCCUCUGCAACUGGAGACAAGAGUAAGACCUAAUGCCAAGGGCCUCUUCGAGACUUAAUGAGAUGAUGCACGGAGUCACUAAGCACAAUGCCUGGCACAUGACGUACUUUUGGCAAUGUUAACAAUUAUUGUUAUGAUCACAAGACCACGAAACAGUUAUUUUAAAAGACUAGAAACAGACUGCUUGAGUUUGACACUUUGGUGAUUAUCUAUGAGCAACUAGUAAAAAAUUCACUGUACAAUUAGGAUGAAAACAUCCACACACAGACCUUUGGGUGCUUGUGAUCCAAGCAUUUCAAGUACAGAACAAACACUUAAUCACAACCCAACCACUAUGUGCUGUUCCAUGAAUCCCCUGGGUUCAGAACUGGUAUUUUAGUUGGGCCCAUUUCUGCCUCCCCCACAUGUUCUCCCUCUCAUCAGAGAACUAACCUCGGGAUGUGAUCUGCAUUUUUCUAAGGCUUUCCCAUAUACCUUACUAGGACUGGAUGAAGAAAAGAGUUCUCUGAAAAUCGUGUAGAACAAGCCACCUGAAAAUCACAGGAAAAGAUGAUGAAGCAAACCAAGAGUGAGAGAUGAAGAUAUGUUAGUAAAAAAAAAAUGUUCAGGGAUGUUGUACUUGCUGUUUUUGGCAACCUGUUAUGCCGAUUCCAAUGACCACGAUGACUAAGUAGGUGAAAUCUCUUCCAGCUUCUUUCACUGUAAAGAGAAAAUGCCAAGGAGUCACAGGUGUAUCCCCUCUGAGCAGCCCCACUUCCAGCUUCUUUGGCAUUGCAGCAGGGGACAUGUGAAGUCAGAGUCAAAGCGAGCAGUGCUGGUGCCUUCUCAGUGGCAGCUCUGGAAUCUCCCUAUGCUUUGGAGUUUUAGCAGGAUCUCAGAGCAGUGCCUAGAAGUCUCUAGUUUUUAUUUCAUCUAAUGUUAUAAUCUUGAUACUGUCUUACUUUCUAAGAGGAGGACUCCUCAUCCAGUCUCUUAGAAUAAGAACAAGUGCCACGUAUCAGGCAGCUCUGGACACAGGUCCAGUGCACAGAUUAAGAAGUAUUGGCUUGUCAACCAAAGAGACCAAAAUGAUCAUUAAACCUUAACAGUCAGUAACAUUCCCAAAUGCCAUCCUUCUGUAACCCCACUGACUGGCGCAUAAAAUACAAAGACAACUGAAUUCAGAACAGGAAUUUAUCUCAACAGAAGAAUUAUGAAUCAAACAAACUUAAAAAAAGAAGAACCUACAAAGAGACUACACUGCACUUAUUUUUUCCCACAUAGAUAAAAGAUGCCCAGAUGGAUUAAAGAGAAAUUCUGGGAGCUAAAUAAAUUCAAUCAAGACAUGUUUGUGCAAAAACUUGCAAUUACAACUACACUGCUUUUUUGAUGCUGAAAAAGUACACUACUUCCUUGGCAUUAGUUUAUAUAUUUGAUUUAUUCACCACUUUAGGAAGACUUCUUUGUUUUGAACCCGGGGAUGUUCUGCCAUUGAGCUACAAUCCUACCUUAAAAGAUGUGAUUCAAACAAUAAAAAUAGUGCAUCUGCCAAAUCUGUUCAGCUCAUGAGACUGAUCUAAACAAUAACUGUCACCACAAAUCCCAUUUCUUUACUUAGGUUCAGGUGUGGAAAAGCCUAUGGUGACACCACCUCAUUCCAUCUCAUUACUGUCAUAACACCUUGAUAACUAUCAAUUGCCAGUAGUGUACCAGCCCCCAACUGGAAGUAUACUGAUAGCUUCAUUUGAGCCUAUUACCUGAAUCAGGUCACAGGCUCCAUACCUUGGAUUUCUGAUUGUCUCUUUCUCAAUACAUUCAUUCCUGAUAGGCUGUCUUUUCUAUUUAUUCAAUCACAGAUAGCUACUACAUAUCUACUAUGUAUAAAGGCUGUGCUGAAUAUUAUCCACAUUUUAUGCAUUCAAAAAAUUUCUAUUGCUAAUAUAUAAGUAUCACCAAUGGAAGCUGCUCAUUGCUUACUUUACUCUUCUUGACCUCUUAGACCUAUCUUCAUACCUAAAAACCUCAUUAGUAUUUGUUUCUACAAUUCUCCACACUUCCUGCAGUGGGUGCUGUGGUGCAGUAUGGGUACUGCUGGCUGCAGGGAGGAGUGGUAGCUGACAGUUCUCAGUUCCUCUCUGCAAAUUCCUUCACCAGAAAAGAUUUCUCACCUAGGUCAUGGCCUGCCUAGUUUCAGAGUUCAUUGACCACUGGCUGAAGCCCUUCUUGCAAGUGCACUUGAGCUCCUCCCUCUGCCAAUACUGCUUUCCUUACCCCUCAACAUGUACUAUCAGAACAUUCCCCAAUAAACCUCUUUAUGCAAA